UACUCUGUACUCGCCGCGGCGCGGUCUUCUGCAGCAUAGUCAUCCACCGCAAUCCUGGGCCUCACGUGUUGCCUGACCAUUCCUGAGCCCAGGUGGGAGCCUUGGCUGAGGUGAUGGUCUCAAAGUGGAAGAGCUUACUGUCACAGCAACUGUUUUGCAAGAUGCCCCGGCCAGGAACAGUUGCUGAACACCCCAGGCCUGCUGAGGUCCCUCCUUGAGUCUCAUGUUCAAGCAAUCUUUGUCCAUGAAACUGGGAGGCGACCUUGUUAGCUGCCAGUUACUGACAGCCACCUCUCACCAGUGGCUCCACUCUGUGUCCCUGACCCAGCACAUGGCACAAGAGUACCUGCCAUCCCUCAGUGUUUCUACAGCAGCAAUCCUGAGAUGCCGGAGCUAGAGGUGACCUGACCUGUGAGAAGAUACCUUCAGUGGCUGCUAGGCUGUUCCUUGGAACCUGUGCAGGGAUGAGGCCUGCCUGUGUUAAUACAUCUGCUGAUGAGUGGAGCUGAAUUUGAAUGCAAGUCUUGGCACCUUAAUUGAGCAAGUUUGAAACCUUGUUUGCUGCCCUUCUGGAAGGAGUCAGGAAUUUCCAGUUCUGGGCCUGGCCUAUGGGUCUGACAGACCUCUGGCCCUAGGUUUGGGUGCCAGGUUCUCUGCUUCCAGAAUGAGAAGCUUUGCUGUGCACCAGGACCUGGGCCCUUCUGGUAUCUCCUGAAUGAAAAACAAGGGCUAUUUAAUAAAUAUGGAUUUAAAUAUGUGA